rnacentral:rRNA from 1 species
UACGUAGGGAGCUAGCGUUGUUCGGAAUUACUGGGCGUAAAGCGCACGCAGGCGGCGAUUUAAGUCAGAGGUGAAAGCCCGGGGCUCAACCCCGGAAUAGCCUUUGAGACUGGAUUGCUUGAGUCUUGGAGAGGUGGGUGGAAUUCCGCGUGUAGAGGUGAAAUGCGUAGAUAUUCGGAGGAACACCAGUGGCGAAGGCGGCUCACUGGACAAGUAUUGACGCUGAGGUGCGAAAGCGUGGGGAGCAAACAGG